UUUUGUGCGGCCAACUGAUCAUGGGGCUGUCUCUUCAUCGUCCCUGCUUCGAAAUUAGCGUUACUAGUUAUGGAUGAAUUGCGAACGGUUGCCUGUAUUGUUCUACCCUUGGGUAGCGCAUGAUUGUCCUGUCGGUUUAUAAUUAGCUUGUUUUGUUAACGUUAGUUGACGAGACGACCGAGAUGUUAGUGACUUCCAAGUGUUUCCAUGUACGUUGUCAUGGUAAUGCACAUGGAUGUUUGCUUGUUCUCAUGGAUGUGGUCCCUAUUGUGAGUUCUAUGGGAUUUGUGCCUGCAGAACCUUUGAGGAUGCCCUUGCAUAGAACAGGUUCUCUUUGCUGCACCAACAUGUUGUGCUUUAAGCGUCAUGAUGUAGUGCUUUAUUGGGGUAGUGUUGUUUGCUUGUGGCAUGCCUCUUAAACCGAACGACUUGCAAUUGCUGGUUUGCGUUAUCACACAACCCCUACCAAUUGGUUAGGAGAUAAGGAUAACGUUCAGCUCUUGUUUAAGAUGUGCUACCUGGUUGAUCCUGCCAGUAGUCAUAGGCCU
rnacentral:misc_RNA from 1 species